rfam:Steinernema glaseri strain NC unplaced genomic scaffold GLAS_5339, whole genome shotgun sequence.
CCAACGGCCCUCUUUAGGGCCACAUGUGUCUCAUAAAACUGUUGU